CGUAGGGUGCGAGCGCUAAUCGGAAUUACUGGGCGUAAAGCGUGCGCAGGCGGUUUUGUAAGACAGAUGUGAAAUCCCCGGGCUCAACCUGGGACCUGCAUUUGUGACUGCAAGGCUAGAGUACGGUAGAGGGGGAUGGGAAUUCCGCGUGUAGCAGUGAAAUGCGUAGAUAUGCGGAGGAACACCGAUGGCGAAGGCAAUCCCCUGGAUCUGUACUGACGCUCAUGCACGAAAGCGUGGGGAGCAAACAGGAUUAGAUACCCUGGUAGUCCACGCCCUAAACGAUGUCAACUGGUUGUUGGGUCUUUACUGACUCAGUAACGAAGCUAACGCGUGAAGUUGACCGCCUGGGGAGUACGGCCGCAAAGGUUG
rnacentral:rRNA from 1 species